AGAAUGAGAGGAUCCCACCAAAAAAAAAUACCCCACAUCCAAGGGCAAAGGAGAAGCCCUAGCAAGAUGGUAGGAGGGGCAAAAUCGCAUUGAGAAUCAAACCCCAUAACUUCCAGAGAUGCUCAAAGGGCUCAAACAUACCUUGUGUGCACCAGGACCCAGAGACCCCACAGAGACUGAGAUAGAACUGUGUUGGACUGUCUCCAGAGGAGGUACAGGUCAGCAGUGGACUGCUGCAGGGGCAGGGGCUCUGGGUGCAGUAGACCUGGGUAUGGCAUAAGCCCUAUUGGAGGAGGUCGCCAUUAACCCCACCAUAGAGC